rnacentral:rRNA from 1 species
UACGUAGGGAGCAAGCGUUGUCCGGAAUCAUUGGGCGUAAAGCGCGCGUAGGCGGCCUGUUGCGUCCGCUGUGAAAUCCCGGGGCUCAACCCCGGGCCUGCAGUGGAUACGGGCUGGCUAGAGGCAGGCAGGGGAGAACGGAAUUCCUGGUGUAGCGGUGAAAUGCGCAGAUAUCAGGAGGAACACCAGUGGCGAAGGCGGCUUCCUGGACACCAACUGACGCUGAGACGCGAAAGCGUGGGGAGCAAACAGG